rnacentral:rRNA from 2 species
AACGAACGCUGGCGGCAGGCUUAACACAUGCAAGUCGAGCGCCCCGCAAGGGGAGCGGCAGACGGGUGAGUAACGCGUGGGAAUCUACCUUUUGCUACGGAAUAACGCAGGGAAACUUGUGCUAAUACCGUAUGUGUCCUUCGGGAGAAAGAUUUAUCGGCAAGAGAUGAGCCCGCGUUGGAUUAGCUAGUUGGUGGGGUAAAGGCCUACCAAGGCGACGAUCCAUAGCUGGUCUGAGAGGAUGAUCAGCCACACUGGGACUGAGACACGGCCCAGACUCCUACGGGAGGCAGCAGUGGGGAAUAUUGGACAAUGGGCGCAAGCCUGAUCCAGCCAUGCCGCGUGAGUGAUGAAGGCCCUAGGGUUGUAAAGCUCUUUCACCGGUGAAGAUAAUGACGGUAUCCGGAGAAGAAGCCCCGGCUAACUUCGUGCCAGCCGCCGCGGUAA